AGAGUUUGAUCAUGGCUCAGAUUGAACGCUGGCGGCAAGCCUCAUACAUGCAAGUCGAGCGAGAACGUUACUUCGGUAGCUAGUAAAGCGGCGGACGGGUGAGUAACGCGUAGGAAUCUACCUUUCAGCGGGGGAUAGCUCGGGGAAACCCGAAUUAAUACCGCAUACACCCUAAGGGGGAAAGAGGGCCUAUCCUUGGAAGCUCUCGCUGUUAGAUGAGCCUGCGUGAGAUUAGUUUGUUGGUGGGGUAAUGGCCUACCAAGACUACGAUCUCUAGCUGGUCUGAGAGGACGAUCAGCCACACUGGGACUGAGACACGGCCCAGACUCCUACGGGAGGCAGCAGUAGGGAAUAUUGGACAAUGGGGGCAACCCUGAUCCAGCUAUGCCGCGUGUGUGAAGAAGGCUCUAGGGUUGUAAAGCACUUUAGGUAAGGACGAAAAGAAUAUAGUUAAUACCUAUAUUCCGUGACUUAACUUACAGAAUAAGGACCGGCUAACUCCGUGCCAGCAGCCGCGGUAAUACGGAGGGUCCAAGCGUUAAUCGGAAUUACUGGGCGUAAAGCGCGCGUAGGCGGUUUGACAAGUUGGGUGUGAAAUCCCCGGGCUUAACCUGGGAACUGCAUUCAAAACUUUUAAACUGGAGUACGGGAGAGGAGAGUAGAAUUCAUGGUGUAGCGGUGAAAUGCGUAGAUAUCAUGAGGAAUACCAAUGGCGAAGGCAACUCUCUGGACCGUAACUGACGCUGAGGUGCGAAAGCGUGGGUAGCAAACAGGAUUAGAUACCCUGGUAGUCCACGCCGUAAACGAUGAGAACUAGCCGUUGGAUCUUUAGAUUCAGUGGCGCAGCUAACGCAUUAAGUUCUCCGCCUGGGGAGUACGGCCGCAAGGCUAAAACUCAAAUGAAUUGACGGGGGCCCGCACAAGCGGUGGAGCAUGUGGUUUAAUUCGAUGCAACGCGAAGAACCUUACCAACCCUUGACAUCCAGUGGAAGUUUUAGAGAUAAAACUGUGCCUUUGGGAACACUGUGACAGGUGUUGCAUGGCUGUCGUCAGCUCGUGUCGUGAGAUGUAUGGUUAAGUCCAGUAACGAGCGCAACCCCUAUUCUUAUUUGCCAGCACUUCGGGUGGGAACUAUAAGGAGACCGCCGUGUAUAACACGGAGGAAGGCGGGGACGACGUCAAGUCAUCAUGGCCCUUACGGGUUGGGCUACACACGUGCUACA
rnacentral:rRNA from 1 species